rnacentral:lncRNA from 1 species
ACUUGCCCUGCGAAGGCAAACAGAGAGGAAACUUUCUUUAGCUCUAAAUGAAAAGGAAAUGACAUCUUCCUUGGGAAUUUAUAACCAUAAAUUGGCCCUUCUGUAGGCCAAAAUUUACAUUACAUGCGUGAGCCCAAAACUCCAAACUAAGCACCUAGUUGAAAGUACUCUCUGGUUGGUAAUGCUCUGAGACAUUCUGUCAGAACACGCCCUAAACCAAAUCUCAAAUAAUUCUCCGUAUAAAAUUCAAUAAAUACGAACAAUUAAAAAAUACAUAAGAUUCUUAGGGGAAAACCAGGCACCACAAGUGAGAGGUUCCUCAUUCAAUCCACAAAUAGCAAAAUCAGACCACAAAGACCAGAUUUCCUAAUUAUCAGGCACAAAAUAUAAAAUAGACAUGCAUAAAUAUUUAAAGAAAUGAAAGAGGAAAUUUAACGUAUGAUUCUCAAAGAAAAGACCAAGAAGGAGGCGAGUUUUAAAGAGAAUCAAAUAGAACCUCCAGAAGUAGAAAUAUUAUAAUCGAGGUUAAAAAAUAAUGAAUGGCUUGAAAGGCCAACUAGACAUAGUUGGACAAAGAAUUGAUGAAUUGGAAGAUGAAUCUGAAAAAAUUAUCUAAAAUGCAGUACAGAGAGGUAAAGAGAUGAAGUAACAAAUUCUAAAUCAUAGUCCAAGAAGGAGAGAACUGAGCUAAUGGAGAAGAAGUGAUAUUUAAAGAGAAAAUAGAGUUCUCCCUCCCUGAUGAGAGACAAGAAUUAUGAUAUUCAGAGUAAACAAAAAUAAAUCUAUGUUUAGACACAUUAGAGUGAAACUACAGAAUACCUAAGAAGAAGAGAGAAUCUUUAAUACAGCUAGAGAAAAGAACAGUUACUUACAAAUGAAUGACAAUUAGACAGAGCUUGGACUAAGGUGAGACAAGUGAAGCGCCUAGGGUAUAAAAUUAAGCAGACACUCACCCUCCAGUUCAAUAGCAAUGAAUGAAAAGAUUUAAUGGGAGAGGACUGGCUUUCUCCUUUAAGAGCAGGAAGUCACUUUUUAAUUUUAAAAUGGCCCUUAUAGCAACUGGAAAAGGGGCUAAAAUCCUCUAGAGAGGUGCUUUUGAAGUCACAGGAGUGAAAAGAUGAGACAUGUAGCAACCACUAUAAAAGAGGCUAGAAGGUUUGUAGAUCCAAAUUUAAUAUAAAAGUUUAUGGUCACUGUUGAUACUCAAAUUAGUAGUCUAGAAGAUCAAGUAGAAGGAAUAUCUCAGAGCAAAAACAUAGAGAAGGAAAUGAUAAAAACUAAGUGUACAGAACUGGCAGCCCUACUUGAAAAUAAUAAGAGUCCCAGAAGGAGGGAAAAAAGCACUUGGAGAAGCAAUAAUUAAAUAAAUAACGG